GGAGUAUAGCACAAGGGAUAUAGAGUGCAUGCUUAGGAUGCAGGAGGUCCUGGGUUCAAUCCCCAGUACCUCCA
rnacentral:tRNA from 1 species